rnacentral:rRNA from 1 species
AACGAACGCUGGCGGCAUGCCUAACACAUGCAAGUCGAACGAUGCCUUCGGGCAUAGUGGCGCACGGGUGCGUAACGCGUGGGAAUCUGCCCUUGGCUUCGGAAUAACAGUUAGAAAUGACUGCUAAUACCGGAUGAUUUCCCCCUGAGAGAUCUUGGGGACCAAAGAUUUAUCGGCCAGGGAUGAGCCCGCGUAGGAUUAGGUAGGUGGUGGGGUAAAGGCCUACCAAGCCGACGAUCCUUAGCUGGUCUGAGAGGAUGAUCAGCCACACUGGGACUGAGACACGGCCCAGACUCCUACGGGAGGCAGCAGUGGGGAAUAUUGGACAAUGGGGGGAACCAUGAUCCAGCAAUGCCGCGUGAGUGAUGAAGGCCUUAGGGUUGUAAAGCUCUUUUACCAGGGAUGAUAAUGACAGUACCUGGAGAAUAAGCUCCGGCUAACUCCGUG